rnacentral:sRNA from 12 species
AUGCCUUGUGAUAAAGUUGUAUUAAUUUCAUCAUAAUUACAAUAGAAAAGAUGUCAAAAAGGAAUUAUGAUAGUUU